rnacentral:misc_RNA from 1 species
AAAAAAAAAAAAAAAAAAAAAAACUGAAAUGAAUUACUAUAUGCUUUCAAUGGUUAACAGUGAGAGGAUAUUUUCUCAUUCCUCACACUUUUCAGGUAUGUUGAUGCUGUUUUGACAGUACCCAAAGGAACUCUGUUCCCAAUGUGUGGCAUGAACCUGGCAUUUAACCGUGAAUUGAUUGGACCUGCAAUGUAUUUUGGGCUGAUGGGUGAUGGUCAGCCAGUUGGCCGCUAUGACGACAUGUGGGCUGGUUGGUG